rnacentral:lncRNA from 1 species
UUUCACAUUUCGUGAUUCAUUCACGUAAUACCAUGAUUCCCAAGUCUUCAGACUUUUUACUUCUGGCGUUGGACUAACCAAGUUCAUGACCCAGUCCAAGACUGCACAAAUCCCACGCAUAAGCUCGUGGCAGCUAUCCCACGCGUAAGCCUGUGGAGGCUAUCCUACGCAUAAGCUCGUAGAGGCUAUCCUAAGCGUAAGCCGGUGGAGGCUAUCCUACGCAUAAGCUCGUAGAGGCUAUCCCACGCAUAAGCUCGUGGCAGCUAUCCUACGCAUAAG